rnacentral:lncRNA from 1 species
AUGGAUGGUUCUUUGGCGCUAGAUGCUUUGAACUUGCUUGCUCUUUCUUGGCAGAUGUUCGUGUACUGUGUUAACUUGAAGCUACGGAAGUUAGGAUUUGCCUUUGCAAACGGAGCUCGCCAGUCAAACCUCCAACUCUAUCCACAAGCUGAACUCCGUGAUCCAUCCACCAUCCACUGGUUCCUCACCUGCAACACGUGGCCCCGGCACAUUGUCAGCUGUCAACAGAUAUUCAAGGGUAUGUCAAUUACACCUCAACUGAAAAAAAACAAACAAAACAAUGAAGAUGAAGUCGUGCUGAAUUAGGGUGACUCCUAACCCAAGGACUGGUAUAUUUAUAAGAGAAAGGAGAGGGAGAUUGAACGCUGAGACAGAGAAACAGAGACACACAGAAGUGGCAGAAAUGAACACCCUCUGAUGGGAGAGGCUGAAGUGAUGCAGCUGCAAGGCUCCAGAACCUCAGUGACUGCCUGCAACCUCCAGGAACUAGGAAGGGGUGGGAAGAAUUCUGCAGUCAUCCUGGGAAGAAUAAAUGAAUGAAUGAAUAAAAACAUAUUCAAUGGCUGACUGAAUAUUGAACGAGCUUGAUGGCUGAGUGGAGAAAAUGUAGAGAAUGAUCACAGGCCAGUGCAGCGGAGGCUCUUUGAGCUGGAGCCUUAGAAUCUCAGCUGUUCCCUUCUCCAGGUGAGUUCUUGGGCAAAGUGAUGGGUGUGCUAACGAAGAAGGUCAGUGUAGGAAACGUCAAGCUAGCACUGAGGUUUACGUGAAAUAUGAGGCGAGAGAGGUUGGUUGAGGACAAAGCAUGAGGCCACGCAACAGUGUUUGGACUUGAUCUUAUCAGUAAAGGGAAACUGCACAGAUUAUAGCGUAGGAACUUUAUUUCCAUCAGAGCUCAAGAAUCUCCUUCUGGAAGCCUUUUAAAGUUUAUCUCGAACAUUGUGAACUGCCCCUAGUUGUUAUUUAAGUCAUCCCUAAACGAUUCUAUGUUUUCGCUGAGCACUCUUUGGCUUUCUGAAUCUGGGCGAGUCCCCCAGAUUUGCUUUGUUUCUGCCUCUGUGCAUGCCAGGCCAUGCUGUGAUUACUCUUUGCUGCCUUUUGUUCCACACCCAAGGCCCUAAAGUCCCCCAAGCUAAGGGUGACGGAAGCCAGUCACAAUAGCCAUAUACCUUGGGUGAAUUCCAUGCACACUCGAAGUCUCGCUGAGCCCAAGUGACAAGACUAAUAGAGCACCAUGGAACACAACAUGGAACUCAACAGUCCUCAGGCCCCAAGUCAGAGAGCUCAUCUGAAAAUCCUCCUUGAGGUCAGUGGCUGUUUAACCCAGAUCUCCCAUUCAAGGCAGUUCUGGCAAGAAGUGUCUGAGGUUGGGUGUAAAAUGCUGACCCACUCCCCCAAAUGGCUACUGUGAUAUUUAAUUAUUUAAAAAUUUUUGGCUGCUCUGUGAGGCAGGCAGAAUCUUCGUUCCCCUACCAGGGAUCGAACCUGUGCCUCCUGCACUGGAAGCGCAGGGUCAGAGAAUUCCCGAAUUUAACUUUUAUUGUCCUACUUCCUGCCUGUAUCAGAUGGAUGGGAAAAUGGAGAGAACUGCAGGAAGAAGACUCAAAUGCAUCUGGGGGUUUUGGAGAUGAGGCAGGUCAGAUUUGAAGGCUCAUGGGCUUAGACACUGUUGAAUCGUGUUCCCAAAAAUGAUAUGUGGAAAGUUCCCACUCCCAGUACCUUAUGGAAUGUGAUUUUAUUCGGGCAUUAGACAUUGCGGGUGCAACGUGUCAAGGCAAGGCACAGUCGUCCUGCAUUAGGGUGGGCCCUUAACACAGUAUGACUGGUGUGCUUGUAAAGUAGUGUGAAGUCAAACAGCCAGUGCCACGUGAUGACAGAGGUAGAGACUGCAGAGGUGCGGCUGCAAGCCACGGACCACCGAGGAUUACGGCCCCGCCAGGUGCCAGGAAGAGACAAGAAAUGAUCUACCCAGAGAGUCCAGAGGAUCCUGGCCCUGCUGACACAUUGGCCUUAGACUUUCAGCCUCUAGAACUGCCAGAGAAGAAGCUUCUAUUGUCAAAGCCUCCCAGUCUGUGGCCCUCUGUUAUAGCAGCCUCAGGUAACUAACACAGACACGUACUGCUGAAAGGGACUGGGAGUCUUUCUAGCUUAUCUUCCUGUCCCAGGAGCUGUGCUCUUACCCGUAGUAAAUAGAGGUGAACUACAUCUCCUAGAGGGGCUGCUCCGGUGGUUAAGAAUCUGCCUGUAACACAGAGUUCAAUUCCUGGGUCAGGAAGAUCCCCUGGAAAAGGAAAUGGUAAUCCAUUCCAGUAUUCUUGCUUGGGAAAUCCCAUGGACAGAAGAGCCUGGCGGGCUACAGUCCAAAGGGUUGCAAAAGAGUCGGAUACAACUUAGCGACUAAGCAACAAUAAUAUCUCCUGGCAGCAAGGUCCAGAAUCAUUCUUCUGAAAUAUCUGUAGCACGUUGCUAGGUGUCCCUUGAGUCCUCAAUAAUGUCUUGUUUUAAAACUAGGUUUUAAAUUACAGUUAAGGCUUCACAGAACAACAUUGAGGGGAAUUCAAAAUAUGGAAAAUAUUCAUCACAUCCUUCAUAAAACUUCCCUUUUUCCGCGGCCCCUGCCAGCGCUCUUGCAUUCACGUACACGUGUAUGUGUUUGCAGCCUCUGUCCACACUCGCGCUUGUGACUGCCCUUCCCCAACCAAUAUUGUUGUUACAUCAUCUUAUAUUGUCGGCCUAAUAGUCCAUCCGGUCGUUAUACCACAACCAUUUCACCAUUUCACUUUUUUAGGUCAUUAAUUGCAAUUAUGAUUUUUCUUUUUUACUCAUCUAGAUAAUGUGACAAAGAACAUCUAGAUAAUGUUACAAAGAACAUUGUGUUUGGAAUUUAUUUUCCAAUUUCAUUGAGAAAUAACCGACACAUAUAAGUUUAAGGUGUGCAGCACAGUGUUUUGAUAAACGUGUCUUGUGAAAGAAUGACCACAAUAGGUUCAGCUAACAUCCAGCUUCUAUCCAGAUACAAUGAAAAGAAAUAUGUUACAAAUUUUUAUUUUCGGGGGAUUAUUUCUUUUGGAUAAAUUUCUAUGAUGGAUUUAUUGGCUCAAGGAGUACAAAUAAUGUUAGAGAUUUUGUUACAUGUUAUUGUAUUGUCCUCUAAAGGAAACCAAAAUACAGUGCCAGCAGAAAAUAUGUAUCAAAUUGUGCUUUACUACAUUUUUGUUUUCUGAGGUUGGAAAUAAAUUUAUUUUCUCCAUAUUUCCCUUAUGUUAAUUGAUAUUUGUCCAUUAUUCUAUUGGGUCCUGAUUGUAUUAGCUAUUUAUAUGCAUUAAAUGAAGCCACCUGGGCUGUAUUCUUAGAAAUAAAUAGCUUUCCUUUUAUUCUAAUUGCAUUUGCUUUUAUUGAAGAGACAUUUUUUUGAGGAGAAGUUGUGGUUGUAGAGUUGAAUUUUUUCUUCCUUUGGAAGUUGUACUUUUAUUUGCUAUUUAUGAAAUAAACACUCCUCCAAACUUAUGAUUAAAUAUUCUAUUUUAGUUGUUUCCCUGGUGGUCCAGUGAUUAAAAUUCGCCUGCGGAUGCAGAGGACAUGGGCUUUAUCCCUGGUCUGGGAAGAUGUCCGCAUGCUGUGAGGCAACCAAGCCCCUGCACCACAGCUAGUAAAGCCUGUAGGCCCUGGAGCCUGAACUCUGCAACAAGAGAAGCAAUCAGAAUGAGGGGCCCAAACCCUGCAGCUAGAGAGUGGCCCCCACUCGUCAUAACUAGAGAAAGUCUCUGCCCAGCAACGAAGAUCCAGCACAGACAAAAACAAAUGAAUAAAUAUGUUUUUAAAUUAAAAAAAAAUAUUUAAUUUUACUUCCAUUAUUUCUAUGGCUUAAUUCAAUAGUUCACUUUUUAACCCAUUUGGAGUUUGUUUUUUCAUAUCAUAUAUAGUGUAAUCUAAAUUAUCUCCAAACUGUAACCCAGUUACAUAAAAUACUUGAUUAAAUAAGAAUUAAUUAUCCCCAUUGAUGUGUACUUGAUAUACUAAAUAAUCCUAUGUACUUUAUUCUGUUAUAAAAAUGCACAUUCUUUACUUUUUGAAUAUUGUACAUUGAAAAUUUUUAUGUACGUAUUUAUUUAUUUAUUUUUGGUCCUGACUGGGAUCAACCCAUGCCCUCUGCACUGGAAUCACAGAGUCCUAGCUACUGGACCAUCAGAGUAUUCCUUGUAAAAUUUUAUUAUUGCUGCUUUGUGACUUGGUUUAACUCCUAGCAUAUCUCCUUCUAUGUCUGAUUAUUUUCCCAGUAUUUUAUUUUGUAUAUGUGUUCUCAUGCAUUUAUAUUUCCUAUGAUCUUCAAUUUGGUGAGUUCUAAAAGAAAGAAAGUUAUGACCAACCUAGAUAGCAUAUUAAAAAGUAGAGACAUUACUUUGCCAACGCCGAAGAAUUGAUGCUUUUGAACUGUGGUGUUGGAGAAGACUCUUGAGAGUCCCUUGGACUGCAAGGAGAUCCAGUCAGUCCAUUCUAAUGGAGAUCAGUCCUGGGUGUUCUUUGGAAGGAAUGAUGCUGAAGCUGAAACUCCAAUACUUUGGCCACCUCAUGUAAAGAGGUGACUCAUUGGAAAAGACUCUGAUGCUGGGAGGGAUCAUGGGCAGGAAGAGAAGGGGACGACCGACGAUGAGAUGGCUGGAUGGCAUCACUGACUCGAUGGACAUGAGUUUGAGUGAACUCUGAGGGUUGGUGAUGGAUAGGGAGGCCUGGUGUGCUGUGAUUCAUGUGGUCGCAAGGAGUUGGGACAUGACUGAGGGAUUGAACUGAAAAGGAGGCCAUUUGAUAGUUGGGUUAGUGUCCACUUAAGAUAUACAACUAUUAUGGGGUGAUCACUGAAUCUGAACUUGAGUUAUCCCUUCUAGCUGGUGUAGCUGGGCAUAAAGAACUGGGCUUUACAAUGAGACUGAGCCUGGGCAUGAACUCAGUCCUAUCUCCUGCUAGCUUGUCCAGGGUAUUGAACCACCCUGACCCUUACUCCCCCUUACCCACGCGGAGACGAUAAAACUUUACUCAGAGGGGGAUCAUUACUAUUAACGAGGGAAGGGAUGUGAAACACACAGCACAAUGCCCGCCACAAUUUGGGCACUUAGUUUUCAUUUCCUUUUUAUUUUCUCCCAGCCACAAUCUAUAGUUUCAUUGGACCAUCUUCAGCUUGCCCCCAAUUUUUAUGUUUUAUAAAUCAAUUUCUUUGCCCCUUUAUACUUCCACAAGUG